UGUAUUUUAGUUUAUCUUGAGGUUGAAUUUUAUCAAAUCAGAGAGUACUUUGGUAAUUGGAAGUUGGUUUUUAUUUGUGUGGAGGAACCUACUAACAGUUACCAAAUAUUGACCUUUUUUCGUGCAUUUUCAAGUUGAAUAUUGAUUAGAUCAAAGAGUACUUUUGUGGUCUUGAGGGAAUUGAGUCAUGUUCUAUGGUUCAGUCUUUGUGGGAUCCAUGGCUAAUUGUUGCCCAAAUUUGAUACAUUUCAAUUAUCUAACCCUCUUUGAUCAGGACACUCCUAUCAUUGAGAGCAUCUGAACAUGUGAAGUAACCAUAUAUCCUUGAGAUAAUUUCAAGACAUAGAUGAAGUGGUUAGAAAUGGGACUUUAAGGUGUACGAAAAGGGACGAACAAGGGUAUUUUGGUAAUUAUGAGUUCAUUUAGGGAUAAAUUGGUAAUUAGUCAUCAUUCUUCUCCAGGAAAACACGUGGUCUGCAUUUUGUGUAAACACGUGCACUGCAAUUUUUACCAAGUAAAACACAACGCUCUACUCCAAUGUCCUCCUCUGUCGGAGAAGUUUACAGUACUGUUUAGAAAUUUUCUAUUGCCUUCAACUUUUUACCACAACUUCGAAUGACUGGAUUAUCUGAGAUGUCUCGACGUUUAGAGAUGGGUGCAUUUUCGUGCUGUUUUAGGGAUGUAGCUAUGUCAAUUCAUUACUACCGACUCCCGAAGAAGUUAAUUACUAGAUUUUUUGUAGUUAUUCUUAAAAUUCCUGUGGCAUUUGUUAUUCUUUUAACCAAUUCCGUACAUGCAUUGAUUGAAGAAAAGGGGCUAUAGAGAAAGGUAGAAGUUUGAUGCAGCAAAGAUGUUUGACAAUAUGCCUCAGGUACUGGAUAUAUUUUUUGAUCUAUCCUCCGGCGAUCCAAAGGUGGGAGAAAUUUGCCAACAUUUUCAGAAUUGACAUUUAAGGAAUGCCUCAAAAUCAGUCAAGGCAAAUUUUGUUGAUGGUAAGGUAAUGCAGACUAUGGUUCCAUCUUUUUAAGUACUUUUUUCAUAAGAAUUUUGUUGUUGCCUAGCUGACUUAGUGUUACCACUAUUACGGAUGUGGUAACUUAACAAAUAGGUGGAAUUUGUUUUCCCAUCUUGAAAUCACCAGACCUUUCUCUUUAAUCAAAAUAGCUGUUCUCUAUGUUCCAUAUUUAUGCUUUCACAUUCAUAUAUUUCUAUUAUUUCUGUAAGUGUUAAGAUAAAUGACUUUAGUCUACCUUCUUCUCUAAUGAACUCACUGAGCUUCAUUCGCAACUUAACACUUCAAUGAGUCAAUUGAAAAGACAAUAUAGCAGUUCUAGGUGAGCGUGACUUUUCUAUAUUCUUAUUUCCUUUCCUCUUUUUUCUUAUUAUAUCUUGAUUGUUUAAUUAAACUUGAGAAUUCAAUAAAGGAUUGAAGAAUUCUCAAUUUGUUACUAAAAUGAAACUAAAAAUGAUGGGAAGGAAGGACAAAGAGAGUAUGGAGGGAGUAACUUCCCUUUUUAGAUUAGAUCUAUAGUUAUCCUUAAUUAGAUGAGUAGCAUUGAUAAUCCGCACUCUUCUUCCUGGUGAAAAUCAGUUACAGCCGCAUGAUCUGUUCUUGGAAGUAGGUCAGUAAUAGUUGCACAAUGAGGACAACAAAUAUGCCCCAAUAAUGUAGCAUUGCCCAACCAUGAUGCCUAAUUACGUAAAAUCAGAACUAGCUUCAUGGUUUAGUUUUUUCUACUUCUUUUAAGCUUUGCUUCUAUUUCUCCCUCAAAUGAAAAUUAACUUCAUAAUCUA